UGAAGGGUGGACCACAUGUUUCACUCGCACAGGACUAUAGCUUUGGGUUUGAAAGGGACACACUUAUUGAGUACCUACUAUGUGCCAAGCUCUGUACUAGACACUGGGGAUACAAAGAUAAAUGUGACAUAGUCCCUGCCUUCAAGGAGUUCGCAGUUCAUUGGAAAAAACUGACAUAAAAUCAAAUAAUUAGAAUGCGUAAGGCCAUUCUAAGGAUUAAAUGUAAUUAAUUGUAGUUAAGUGGGAGACAACACUAAGUCAUUUAAUCCUCACACGAACAGCCUGGGAGAGGUGGUGUUGGCCCAUUUUACAGGUGAAGAAAGUGAGGUUACAUUGGUGAAAUCACUUGCCUCAGGUCAUACAACUAGGGAGAGACACUGCCGGCGGAGUGCGGGAGCACCACACAGCCUGGUGAGAGUCACUUCUGGGCCUCUCUUCCCAGCUGUUUGCUCUGUGGUAUCUCACUGGUGGCUUGAAACCUACCAACAGAUGGGUCACAGAAAUCAGCAAACACUACAAAGCAGGUGACAGCCUGGAUUCAGAUUCCAGUUUGAAACUAAAGACUCCCUCCAGUCUCCCCUAGAACAUUCUCUGAUUUGAACCACCCACUCCUUCUAAAAAGUCUGCCUCCCCAAGAGACUCACAGCAGCUUGCCCUGGACAAGACCAAAAAAGACAAUGGAUGUGGUCCGCCUUGGGAGUCCCCAAGGGCUGUGCAACAAAGUCAAGUCACCGUCCACCCUUCAGCUCUGAGCUAGAAUCUCAGCAGACACAUCUGGGCCAGGUGCUGAGAACUCGCUGUGGAGCAAGGAAUGCUUGGUCCGGUGGAGGAAGGAGGUGGCCAUUUGAACUGAUGCAGGGCUAACUCUUCUUUGACUCUUUAUUCUUCACACUAGCAAGGCCUGGCACAGAGAAGACUCUAAAUAAAUGGUGGUGGAGUAAAAGGAGGACAUAAUGAUUGGGAUGUGUUGCAGGACAUCCAGAAAGCAACUAGGAACAGAGGGCUGGAGUUCAGGAGAGGUGACCGCAGAGGGAUAUUUUUGGAAUUCUGCCCUGCUCAUCUGUAAGUUCAUGUGAGUUGCAUUAAACCUGAUGUGGAGAGUGCGUGGGGGUCUCGGAGCCUAAAGGAAAUAUGAAGAAAAUGAGCAAGCUCCCAUCCGCAUUGCCUCUGCACUCCCAGCACUGCUUUUGCAUGAAUAGGGGACAGACACAUCCCUGGCACAGGGAGGCUGUUCCCACUUAGAGCACAUCUGUUGAAGGAAUGAGGACACCAAGUCUGCCUGCACCCUAAGGCCAAACAUCAGCUGGGCAUCCAACACUUACACUACCAAAAGCUGCUGUCCAAGGAAGCAAGAGAGACUGGGGAAAAGCGCAGCUGCCUGCAUGCAGUGUCCCAGCAGCAAAUCAUGUCUGCAGGCUCUAGACCCACCAAUGAUUUUUCUUCUCUUCCUAAUUCAAUGCAAGGUUUCAGCUCCAUCUGAGUGCCUGUGGCACUGAGAAAAUUAAAGGUAGACUUAAUUGAUCCCAAAUGAUCUUGGCUCACUGCAACCUCUGCCUCCCGGGUUCAAGUGAUUCUCCUGUCUCAGCCUCUCAAGUAGAUCUUCAUGCAAAGCGACAUUGAAAAUGGAAAGACCCUAUUCUGGGCAUCAUUUCUGCUGGUCCUAAAAAAGGGUUAUCCAAAUCCCCACUCAAGAGCUCCCCUUAUGGCUCCCUGGUGGAAGCCAGCCCAGACAGAUAACAACCACACAAAUAAGCAAGAAUUAUGAAGAUCCAUUGUACAAUAUCGACUGAGCACGUCCUAUUGCCGGCUGCUGUCCUGGUCACUUCAGACACAGCAUGAAGGAAACAGACAAAAGAUCUUCCCCUUAGAGAGCCUCCGUCUGGGGUAGGGAGGAUGAUAAGCAAAUAAACACAUCAGUAUCAGUCGGGGUUCUCCAGACAAACAGAGCCAGGAGGAGCUAGAUUAGCUCUAAAUCUAGAUGACAUAGAUGUGUGUAUGUGUACAUAUUACAUAUAUGUAUAAAGGAAUUUAUUUCAGGAAUUGGCUCAUACAGUUGUGGAGGCUGGCAAGUCUGAGAUCUGUGGAGCAGGCUAGCAGGCUGGAAACUCAUGCAGGAACUGAUGCUGCAGUCUUGGGGCAGAAUUUCUUCUUGCAUAGGGAAACGUCGGUUUUCCUCUUCAAACCUCUCCACUGAUUAGAUGAGGCCCACCAAGAUAUCAAGGGUAAUCUCCUUUACUUAAAGACAACUGAUCUUGUUUACCAUAUCUAUAAAAUACCUUCACAGCAACACUAGGUUAGUGUUUGCUUCAAUAACUGGGUCUUGCCUGGGCGCGGUGGCUCCCACCUGUAAUUCCAGCACUUUGG
rnacentral:lncRNA from 1 species